CAUGGUUGUCGUCAGCUCGUGUCGUGAGAUGUUGGGUUAAGUCCCGCAACGAGCGCAACCCUCGUCCUAUGUUGCCAGCGGGUCAUGCCGGGGACUCAUGGGAGACUGCCGGGGUCAACUCGGAGGAAGUGGGAUGACGUCAAAUCAUCAUGCCCCUUAUGUCUUGGGCUUCACGCAUGCUACAAUGGCCGGUACAAAGGGCUGCGAUACCGCGAGGUGGAGCGAAUCCCAGAAAGCCGGUCUCAGUUCGGAUUGGGGUCUGCAACUCGACCCCAUGAAGUCGGAGUCGCUAGUAAUCGCAGAUCAGCAACGCUGCGGUGAAUACGUUCCCGGGCCUU
rnacentral:rRNA from 1 species